GAUGAACGCUGGCGGCGUGCUUAACACAUGCAAGUCGAACGGUGAACGAGGGAGCUUGCUCCCUCCGGAUCAGUGGCGAACGGGUGAGUAACACGUGAGCAAUCUGCCCUGGACUCUGGGAUAAGCGUUGGAAACGACGUCUAAUACCGGAUACGAGACGCGAAGGCAUCUUCAGCGUCUGGGAAGAACUUCGGUCCAGGAUGAGCUCGCGGCCUAUCAGGUAGUUGGUGAGGUAACGGCUCACCAAGCCUACGACGGGUAGCCGGCCUGAGAGGGUGACCGGCCACACUGGGACUGAGACACGGCCCAGACUCCUACGGGAGGCAGCAGUGGGGAAUAGUGCACAAUGGGCGCAAGCCUGAUGCAGCAACGCCGCGUGAGGGACGACGGCCUUCGGGUUGUAAACCUCUUUUAGCAGGGAAGAAGCGAAAGUGACGGUACCUGCAGAAAAAGCACCGGCUAACUACGUGCCAGCCGCCGCGGUAAGAC
rnacentral:rRNA from 1 species